rnacentral:misc_RNA from 1 species
AAGUCGUAACAAGGUUUCCGUAGGUGAACCUGCGGAAGGAUCAUUAACAAACACAACAAACACUUGGCUGGGGCGUGUUUUGCUUUGUUUUUCUUUUCUUUAGCAAUAAAGCAAAAGUAGAGUAAGGUGAAGCAAGGUGCGCGCUGUGCCAUCAACCUUUGUGAAUCGGGCGCAUGGCCGGCAGCAGUUCAGCAAUGAGCUGUUGUUGCCUUGCGCUUAGUCGGGAAUGCAAUGGAAUGGAAUAGAGUAGAAGAGAAUAGAAAAGAAUGGAAUGUAUUUUAUUAUAUAAUAUAAUACAAUUCAUUCUGCUUUAUUCUAUUUUGUUUUGUUUUAUUUUAUUUAUUCAAGUCUGAAUUCUUUGUCGAAAGACUAAAGCAAUAAUGCAAUGCAAUACAACUUUUAACAAUGGAUCUCUAGGCUCUU